UUAGUAAAUUGUUCUUGACACCAAUUGCUGCAUACGAAAUUCAUUUGCUGAUUAUCUAGUUUAUUGUUCUACGCAGGUACUUCCUAAAUGUCAUUUUCAAUAUUCUGAACAAGAAAGUUUAUAAUUAUUUUCCAUAUCCAUACUUUGUCUCAGUUAUACAUCUCGCAGUUGGUGCGGUCUAUUGUCUUGUCAGUUAGGCUGUUAGUCUGCCAAAAUGAGCAGUGAGUUUCAUCUUCUGCAUUUGUUAUUAGUUCUUCAUAGUUCUGCAUUUGAAGAUGAUACUUCUAAUGUUUCCUAGUGGAUGAAUUAUCUUUUGAGUGGAAUUAGUUGAUAACAAUGAUGCCCCCUUGUGAACACAUGGUGGAAUGCUAUGCCUGUUACACAAGUUAUCACUUGAAACUUUAUGAUUUGAUGUCCUUUAAUUGAUUCUGCUGUUUGUGCUCUAAAUUGAUAUAAUGCUUGACUAAUGGGAUGUGGAGUGGUUCAACAUAGUUCAAUGCUACGCAGAUAAAAGUUAAUUUGUUACCCAGAUGUGAUAUUUUUUUUUUUUGUGUGUGUACAUGUGUAAUGAUUUAUAAUUGCUUAAUCCACUCUUACAUUAAGGAAAAGAAAAAAACUAUCCAUGUUUAAAUGCCUAAGUCGAUUAAUUUUCAUUCAUUCUAUUAAUAUAAAAAAGGUCAGGGCAUAGUCUUUGGCAUCAUAGAAAUUUGUUCCUUAUUUUUUUUCUAAUGGAGUUGAGUGCUGGGGUAGAGUUGGCAACUACAGCUGUGCCACACCUUUUUCUGCCUUUAGCUUGUGCUACCAAUGUGGCCAAGCCUUUGCCAAAGGUGAAAACAUUGGGGAUGUUACUGCGAAGGGAGAAUGUGUUGGCAAUGUUGCCGAUCUGGUAUG